GACGAACCGUGCAAACGUUGUUCGGAAUCACUGGGCUUAAAGGGCGCGUAGGCGGGCAAGCAAGUCCGGGGUGAAAUCUUUCGGCUCAACCGGAAAAGUGCCUUGGAUACUGCUUGUCUGGAGGGAGGUAGGGGCAUGUGGAACUUCUGGUGGAGCGGUGAAAUGCGUUGAUAUCAGAAGGAACGCCGGUGGCGAAAGCGACGUGCUGGACCUCUUCUGACGCUGAGGCGCGAAAGCUAGGGGAGCAAACGGG
rnacentral:rRNA from 1 species